UACAGAGGUGGCAAGCGUUGUUCGGAAUUACUGGGCGUAAAGGGCGCGUAGGCGGCCAUCUAAGUCAGACGUGAAAUCCCCCGGCUUAACCUGGGAACUGCGUCUGAUACUGGACGGCUUGAGUAUGGGAGAGGGAUGUAGAAUUCCAGGUGUAGCGGUGAAAUGCGCAGAUAUCAGGAAGAACACCCGUGGCGAAGGCGGUUCUCUGGGACGGUACUGACGCUGAGACGCGAAAGCGUGGGGAGCGAACAGG
rnacentral:rRNA from 1 species